CUGGAGCCGGGAUGAUUCCUAAAUAGGUUGGUACACAGACUUCUCACAUGCUUCAAUUCAGGCUCCAGAUUCUCUGGUCUCUGAGAGACAAAAGGAAUUUCAGUGCAUUUCAUGCGCCUAACAUCUUCCCACAGCAAGAGGAGAGUCUGCUUUGUCCCUGAAGUCUCACUAGUCCCGAGUGUGAUUUGCCCCACUUCGGGUAGAGGAAGGAUCUUUUUAGCUUGCCUUUAGGAAAGCAGAGUUAUUGGGGAGGAAAACGUGAUUGUAGUCGUGUGUCUGACCGUGGUAAAUGCUGGCCUUGCCGUGCACUAGAGGCUGCCAUAAGCAGAGCAAACGACAUAAAGACAGCGCCCAAGAAAAUGUUCUGGUGUAUGCAAACAAGCUCAGCUGCCUGAAGGGGCCAGAAGAGGCUGUCAGAGUCCCCUGUGGCUGAAGUUGUUGUGAUCUGCUGUGAAGCAGUGAGGAAGAUGCUGGGAACUGUACUUGGGUCCUCUGCAAGAGCAGCAAACUCUGAACCACUCUUUGGCCCCCAG
rnacentral:lncRNA from 1 species